AACGAACGCUGGCGGCAUGCCUAACACAUGCAAGUCGAACGAGACCUUCGGGUCUAGUGGCGCACGGGUGCGUACCGCGUGGGAACCUGCCCUUAGGUUCGGAAUAACUCCCCGAAAGGGGUGCUAAUACCGGAUAAUGUCUUCGGACCAAAGAUUUAUCGCGUUUGGAUGGGCCCGCGUUAGAUUAGCUAGUUGGUAGGGUAAAAGCCUACCAAGGCGACGAUCCAUAGCUGGUCUGAGAGGAUGAUCAGCCACACUGGGACUGAGACACGGCCCAGACUCCUACGGGAGGCAGCAGUGGGGAAUAUUGGACAAUGGGCGAAAGCCUGAUCCAGCAAUGCCGCGUGAGUGAUGAAGGCCUUAGGGUUGUAAAGCUCUUUUACCCGGGAUGAUAAUGACAGUACCGGGAGAAUAAGCUCCGGCUAACUCCGUG
rnacentral:rRNA from 1 species